UACGUAGGACCCAAGCGUUAUCCGGAAUUACUGGGCGUAAAGAGUUGCGUAGGUGGCAGAGUAAGCAAGAUGUGAAAGCGUGUGGCUCAACCAUACAUGACAUGUUUUGAACUGCUCAGCUAGAGGAUAAGAGAGGUAGAUGGAAUUUCUAGUGUAGGAGUGAAAUCCGUAGAUAUUAGAAAGAACACCAAUGGCGUAGGCAGUCUACUGGCUUAUUCCUGACACUAAGGCACGAAAGCGUGGGGAGCGAACGGG
rnacentral:rRNA from 1 species